rnacentral:lncRNA from 12 species
AAAGCAAAUGAUUCAUUGCACUAUGAUUGUCUAUCAGAAUGAACAGGACUGAAAGCCUUGGAAAUGAAAAGAAUGUCUCCUGACAUGCCAGAAGACAAACACAGCUCUCUGAAUGCCCAAAGGGUCAACCAGAAAUGCCUGGAACAAUGGGAAAAACAGGAUGUGCAAGGAGCCAUUCCCAGAAGACAGACUGCUUGUAGCCGCCUCCUUUUUGAGGGAAAGGUUUGCCAUAAA